UAAAACGUAGGAGGCGAGCGUUAUCCGGAUUUACUGGGCGUAAAGCGCGUGCAGGCGGUUUGGUAAGUCGGACGUGAAAGCUCCCGGCUCAACUGGGAGAGGCCGUUCGAAACUGCCAGACUAGAGGGCAGCAGAGGGAGGUGGAAUUCCGGGUGUAGCGGUGAAAUGCGUAGAUAUCCGGAGGAACACCAGUGGCGAAGGCGGCCUCCUGGACUGCCCCUGACGCUAAGACGCGAAAGCUAGGGGAGCGAACGGGAUUAGAAACCCCGGUAGUCCUAGCUGUAAACGAUGCACACUUGGUGUUGGUGGCAUAAAACCCAUCAGUGCCGCAGCUAACGCGAUAAGUGUGCCGCCUGGGGACUACGGUCGCAAGGCUA
rnacentral:rRNA from 1 species